CCAGACUCCUACGGGAGGCAGCAGUGGGGAAUAUUGGGCAAUGGGCGCAAGCCUGACCCAGCAACGCCGCGUGAAGGAAGAAGGCUUUCGGGUUGUAAACUUCUUUUCUGAGGGACGAAGAAAGUGACGGUACCUCAGGAAUAAGCCACGGCUAACUACGUGCCAACAGCCGCGGUAAUACGUAGGUGGCAAGCGUUAUCCGGAUUUAUUGGGUGUAAAGGGCGUGUAGGCGGGAAUGCAAGUCAGAUGUGAAAACUAUGGGCUCGACCCAUAGCCUGCAUUUGAAACUGUAUUUCUUGAGUGCUGGAGAGGCAAUCGGAAUUCCGUGUGUAGCGGUGAAAUGCGUAGAUAUACGGAGGAACACCGGUGGCGAAGGCGGCCUGCUGGACUGCAACUGACGUUGAGGCCCGAAAGCGUGGGGAGCAAACAGGAUUAGAUACCCCUGUA
rnacentral:rRNA from 1 species